AUAACUCAGGGAUAGCCUUUCGAAAGAAAGAUUAAUACCUGAUAGUACUUUUUCAAGGCAUCUUAGAAAAAAGUUAAAGAUUUAUUGGUUAUGGAGUGGGGAUGCGUUCCAUUAGAUAGUUGGUGAGGUAACGGCUCACCAAGUCUUCGAUGGAUAGGGGUUCUGAGAGGAACGGUCCCCCACAUUGGUACUGAGACACGGACCAAACUCCUACGGGAGGCAGCAGUGAGGAAUAUUGGUCAAUGGGCGAGAGCCUGAACCAGCCAAGUAGCGUGGAAAAGGAUGGAGGUCCUAUGGAUUGUAAACUUUCUUUUAUAGUAGAAUAAAGUGAGCCACGUGUUGGUUUUUUGUAUGUAUACUAUGAAUAAGGAUCGGCUAACUCCGUGCCAGCCGCCGC
rnacentral:rRNA from 1 species